rnacentral:snoRNA from 1 species
GCCCUGUGGUUACUGGACACUGGUUUGUGUGUACAGUGCUUCAGUUGGUAAAAAUGGGCCAAAAGUGAGGCUGUGAUUUAAGCAUGGAAUCUGUGAUCCCUGAGCAGCUUCCAUAGCCCGGUCACAGGAACACAC